CGCCCGCCACCGCGUGCUGUGCCUCUUCGCCGCACUCCGACCCUGGCCUCCUGCGCCGCACCCCGCCACGCAUCCUACCUGUCGAGCGCGCGCCGCGCCGCCUCCCCCUGGCCAUCCGCGCCGUCUUCGGGAGCCCCAGGCCGGGCGGAUCGCCAGUGCCCAGGCGGUCCCUAGCGCCAGCGGAUGCCGCGACCAUCGCGCCUACCUCCGUGCCGUCGUCGGCCUUCUCAGCCAUCGAUUUCCUCACCCUCCACGCAGAUCUGCUGAGGAGACGAGGAGUUCUGCUCCUCCCUGUUCGAUUCCGCUAAAGGUAACCCCUUUAUUACCAGAAAAGUCCUCAAAGACAGCGAUGCUGAUUAAAACACUGGUGUGCACUUGCAACGCCCGAGGGAUAAGGACGAGAAGCCGCAGCCGCCCCCCGCCGACGAGGGGGGACGCGUACAAAGAAGGCCAUGGCAGAUGAAUGCCCGUCGGAGCCCCCAACCAGCAUCGACAACUCUUAUCCAGAGAGCAGUCAAUCCUACAUAUGAAUCGUUCAAGCAAGCUCAGCAUUGGGGCAUGGGACAAUCAUGUUAUGUCCCUCUCGAUGAGUGCAUCACCGCUGCCUGAGGGCAUGUAGGAGGUUUACAUGGCUGUGUAGAUUGGAGACCCUUUCAAUCAGAGGAUUUUCAGCCAACAGCACUGCUUGACUACUCAGCUAGGCCUCUUUGCUCCUCCACCGUGGUGUAAGCUCCAAGUGCUGCUUGAAAAGAUCCAGUCUAUGAUGAUGGAAACAUAAAGAGAGGAUUUUUUUUUCUUUUAAACAUGCCCAUUUUAUAUGUUCAGAAGUACUAUAGCACUGAAAAACUGUUAAGAUCCUCUCCAACCACAUUGCCUGGGCCAUUGUUGAUGUGCGGCACUCUAACUGGAUCUUUUCAAAAGGAACGAGCCUAAAGGCUUUGGAGAAAGCUGUUGCAGAUGUAUUUCCUAACGCAUCGAAGAAAAUAGAGAGCAGCAUCAAGAAUAUUGCAAAUUACCAAGCACCUAGGAGUUAUGUGCUCAAACAAGGGUUGGAGGUAGAAACCUCUAGAAGGCAUGCAUCUGAAGAGGGAAGGCUUAAAGUUUGACGAUCCCGAUAUAUUUGAGAGUAUUGAUAUCGUGGGCUCCCCAGGUGCUACUGUAGGAGAUGGAAAUGUCAAUAAUGCCAACGCGGUGAUUUUCAUCUCAGCUGCACGAAUGGUUUUUUCUUUGCAUGCUCCUAGAGUACAAAAGAGAGAAAUCAAUUUUAGGAGCACAAAUCUUCAUUAAUUCUCUUUAAUUUGGCGUGCUAGCUGUCAGUACAAUUUGGUCAUGGUUUGAGAAUCACUAUAAAUGGCUUCCACUUGAAAACUGAGAACCUAAUUUUUCUUGUUAAUACAUUGGAUAGAUGUUUCUUUUUAGGAACCACCUGUUUUAUGGAGUAUAUUUCCUGAUAGUUAGACAUAGAUGUUGUAGUAUCAUCAAUUUUUAGGGUUUCCAUUGCAACCCCUGGGUAAACUUAGUUAUUUAACAAUAAUAUGAUAUGGAAGAUAGUGUUCUGUGAAUCCAAAUUUCUUUGUCUAAUUUAACUCGCCAAAUUAUCAUUUGUUGUCUUCAAAUUAUUCUUUUUCCGCAACGAUUUCAUUUGUUUGCCUAUUAAAAUGGGUCUCCUAUAGACUUGAUGCAUAAAAUGUCUCGGAUGAUGAUACUAGCUAAUUUAUCCAUAGAAUGUACUAUUAUAUUGUUUGUCUUCUUAGGAAUUUUUAUCUUAUUUCUUGGCUGAUUUUCUAAAAAUACUAUUGAGCUGACCCAUGUAUGUGGUUCCUCAUGUAAAACGGCAUCGCUACUC